rnacentral:rRNA from 1 species
GCGAAAAGAACCCCGGCGAGGGGAGUGAAAAAGAACCUGAAACCGUGUACGUACAAGCAGUGGGAGCCCCACCACCAAAGCAUUCUCUGGUGUUGAAGGCCCUGCAAAGCAGCAUCGCGGUGGCGGAGCGUCGUUUGCGACGCCCAACACACAAAACAAGCGGUGAGUGCUUUGGGGUGGGGUGACUGCGUACCUUUUGUAUAAUGGGUCAGCGACUUAUAUUCUGUAGCAAGGUUAACCGUAUAGGGGAGCCGGAGGGAAACCGAGUCUUAACCGGGCGUUAAGUUGCAGGGUAUAGACCCGAAACCCGGUGAUCUAGCCAUGNACAGGUUUACCUGUGUGACUGCGUACCUUUUGUAUAAUGGGUCAGCGACUUAUAUUCUGUAGCAAGGUUAACCGAAUAGGGGAGCCGGAGGGAAACNGUUUCGCUUUGUGUGGUGCACAAAGAAGCGUAACGACAGCACUGAAUGACGGUUAACGGAGCGCAAGCGACGUUCAACAUACAAAGUCAAGCAGUGGAGCGCUUUGGGGUGGGGUGACUGCGUACCUUUUGUAUAAUGGGUCAGCGACUUAUAUUCUGUAGCAAGGUUAACCGAAUAGGGGAGCCGGAGGGAAACCGAGUCUUAAUUGGGCGUUAAGUUGCAGGGUAUAGACCCGAAACCCGGUGAUCUAGCCAUGGGCAGGUUGAAGGUUGGGUAACACUAACUGGAGGACCGAACCGACUAAUGUUGAAAAAUUAGCGGAUGACCUGUGGCUGGGGGUGAAAGGCCAAUCAAACCGGGAGAUAGCUGGUUCUCCCCGAAAGCUAUUUAGGUAGCGCCUCGUGAAUUCAUCUCCGGGGGUAGAGCACUGUUUCGGCUAGGGGGCCAUCCCGGCUUACCAACCCGAUGCAAACUGCGAAUACCGGAGAAUGUUAUCACGGGAGACACACGGCGGGUGCUAACGUCCGUCGUGAAGAGGGAAACAACCCAGACCGCCAGCUAAGGUCCCAAAGUCAUGGUUAAGUGGGAAACGAUGUGGGAAGGCCCAGACAGCCAGGAUGUUGGCUUAGAAGCAGCCAUCAUUUAAAGAAAGCGUAAUAGCUCACUGGUCGAGUCGGCCUGCGCGGAAGAUGUAACGGGGCUAAACCAUGCACCGAAGCUGCGGCAGCGACGCUUAUGCGUUGUUGGGUAGGGGAGCGUUCUGUAAGCCUGUGAAGGUGGCCUGUGAGGGUUGCUGGAGGUAUCAGAAGUGCGAAUGCUGACAU